AUAAUACUGGAUAGGCAAUUUUUCCUGUAAUGGUUUUUUGUUUAAAUGUUUUUUCGCCUAAGGAUGGGUCUGCGGCCGAUUAGGUAGUUGGUUAGGUAAUGGCUUACCAAGCCGUUGAUCGGUACGGGUUGUGAGAGCAAGAGCCCGGAGAUGGAACCUGAGACAAGGUUCCAGGCCCUACGGGGUGCAGCAGGCGCGAAACCUCCGCAAUGUGAGAAAUCGCGACGGGGGGAUCCCAAGUGCUAUUCUUAACGGGAUGGCUUUUCAUUAGUGUAAAGAGCUUUUGGAAUAAGGGCUGGGCAAGACCGGUGCCAGCCGCCGCGGUAACACCGGCAGCUCUAGUGGUAGCAGUUUUUAUUGGGCCUAAAGCGUCCGUAGCCGGUUUAAUAAGUCUCUGGUGAAAUCCUGUAGCUUAACUGUGGGAAUUGCUGGAGAUACUAUUAGACUUGAGACCGGGAGAGGUUAGAGGUACUCCCAGGGUAGAGGUGAAAUUCUGUAAUCCUGGGAGGACCGCCUGUUGCGAAGGCGUCUAACUGGAACGGUUCUGACGGUGAGGGACGAAAGUUAGGGGCGCGAACCGGAUUAGAUACCCGGGUAGUCCUAACUGUAAACGAUGCGGACUUGGUGUUGGGGUGGCUUUGAGCUGCUCCAGUGCCGAAGGGAAGCUGUUAAGUCCGCCGCCUGGGAAGUACGGUCGCAAGACUGAAACUUAA
rnacentral:rRNA from 1 species